rnacentral:rRNA from 1 species
CGAACGAAGUAGCCCAAUGAAGAUGGAGUGCUUGACACAAAAUUGGAUUUGGAUUUCUACUUAGUGGCAGACGGGUGAGUAACACGUGGGUAACCUACCUCAGAGACUGGGAUAACAGUUAGAAAUGACUGCUAAUACCGGAUGAUUCAUAGAUAGAUAACUAUCUAUGCUAAAAGAAGCGUUUGCUUCACUUUGAGAUGGGCUUGCGUUGUAUUAGUUAGUUGGUGGGGUAAUGGCCUACCAAGACAACGAUGCAUAUCCGAGCUGAGAGGCUGAUCGGACACACUGGGACUGAGACACGGCCCAGACUCCUACGGGAGACAGCAGUUAGGAAUAUUCGUCAAUGGGGGAAACCCUGAACGAGCAAUGCCGCGUGAGUGAUGAAGGUCUUAUAGAUUGUAAAAACUCUGUUGUAGAGAAAGAAACCUUAAGAUAGGAAAUGAUCUUAAGCUGACGGUACUCUACCAGAAAGCCCCGGCUAACUACGUGCC